GUGCAGCAGCGGGGCUGAAGGGCUCCUCAAGCGCGCCAGCGUGGUCCCGGAGGCUGAGGAGGCGCCGGGAGCCAGCGAGGGCUGCUAGCACGUUGUCACCUCUCACCUGUAUUUCACUGGACUCUCUAAAUUGUCUCAGCUCCAGAUAAUCCUUUUAGUGUCCUGGCUAAAAAUUCCUUGCUGUACAAGGUAAUGGAGAUUUUCUCUUGUAUAUUCUUCUAGAAGUUUAAUAGUCUCAGUUUUUGUAUUUAAGCUUAUAAUUCUAAUUAAUUUUUAUAUUUGGUGUGAGGAAAAUAGCAUAGCUUCUUUUGUCCCAUAUUGAUAUCCUGUUGUUUCAGCACUACUUGUUUAAAGAUUAUCCUUUUUCCAUUGAAUUAAGCUGUUGACUUUACACAAUCAAUUUACCAUAUGUAUGUGGGUCUAUUUCUGGAGUUUCUGUUCUAUUCUAUUAAAUUAUUAUUUUAAAAUCAUAAUACAUUAAUUAGAAAUGUUUUUAAAUUUCUAAGUAUUCGAAGGAUUUUCUAGAUAUCUUACUGUUUUGUAUUUACAAUUUAAAUCCAUAAAUUAUAUAGAUGGAGUGAGAGCAUACACUUAAGAUUUCAAUCCCUAAAAAUGUAUUGAGACUUAUUUUGUGGUCCAGUAUAGGCUUAUCUUAGUGAACAUCCAAAGGAAGCUUCAAUAAAAUGGUUAUUUUGCAGUUUUUUUGAUGUAGUGUUUUAUAAAUGUCAGUAAGAUCAAACUGAUUUUUACUGUUGUUCAGAUUGUCUAUAUCUUGAAUUAUUUUUGGUCUAUUUCUUUUAUCAGUUAUGUAGGGAAGAGGAAAGGCUGCUAAAAAAAAGUCAAACUAAUUUGUGAAUUUGUUUUUUCCUUCUUAAGUUGUGUUAGGUUUUUGCUUCAUUUUUAAAGCUCUGUUAUUAGUGAAUGUACAUUUAAGGUUGUUAUGUCUUUCUGAAGAAAUGCCUUUAUUGUCAUCAUGAAUUGUCUCUAUCUCUGAAAAUAUUUUUUGUUUGAUAUUUACUUUGAAAUUAGUAUCAUAACACCAGAUUUCUUAUGCGUAC
rnacentral:lncRNA from 1 species